AUAUCAAUAAGUGGAGGAAAAGAAACUAACAAGGAUUCCCCCAGUAAUGGCGAAUGAAGAGGGAAAAGCCCAAAUUUGUAAUCUGGCUUUCUUUUGAAGGUCUGAGUUGUAAUUUUAAGAACUGUUUUCUGUGCUGGACCACACACAAGUUUGUUGGAAAACAACAUCAUUGAGGGUGAUAAUCCCGUUCAUGGUGUGGA
rnacentral:rRNA from 1 species